AGGACAGUAGAGAGAGAGAGAACAACAGGAGGACAGUAGAGAGAGAGAGAACAACAGGAGGACAGUAGAGAGAGAGAACAACAGGAGGACAGUAGAGAGAGAGAGAACAACAGGAGGACAGUAGAGAGAGAGAGAGAACAACAGGACAGUAGAGAGAGAGAGAGAACAACAGGAGGACAGUAGAGAGAGAGAGAGAACAACAGGAGGACAGUAGAGAGAGAGAGAACAACAGGAGGACAGUAGAGAGAGAGAGAGAACAACAGGAGGACAGUAGAGAGAGAGAGAACAACAGGAGGACAGUAGAGAGAGAGAGAACAACAGGAGGACAGUAGAGAGAGAGAGAACAACAGGACAGUAGAGAGAGAGAACAACAGGACACAACAGGAGGACACUAGAGAGAGAGAGAGAACAACAGGAGGACAGUAGAGAGAGAGAACAACAGGAGGACAGUAGAGAGAGAGAACAACAGGAGGACAGUAGAGAGAGAGAACAACAGGAGGACAGUAGAGAGAGAGAGAGAACAACAGGAGGACAGUAGAG
ensembl:lncRNA